AUUGAACGCUGGCGGCGGGCCUAACACAUGCAAGUCGAACGGGUGGCGGACGGGUGAAUAAUGUAUGGGAAACUGCCUGAUGGAGGGGGAUAACUAGGGGAAACGGUAGAUAAUACCGCAUACCAUCCGAUGUGGUGCGGUGGGAGUAGGGAGUUGGUGGGGUAACGGCUCACCAAGGCGAAGAGGCCUAGCUGGUCUGAGAGGGUGACCGGCCAAACUGGAACUGAGACACGGUCCAGACUCCUACGUGAGGCAGCAGUGGGGAAUAUUCCGCAAUGGGCGAAAGCCUGAUGGAGCCAUGCCGCGUGUGUGAAGAAGGCCUUCGGGUUGUAAAAUUCUUUUGUCAGGGAGGCGUUAUCCGAACAGGAAGCCACGGCUAACUCCGUGCCAGCAGCCGCGGUAAUUC
rnacentral:rRNA from 1 species